CGGGGGUCGGGGCUCGGCCGCGAGUUAUGGCCUCGAACUCGAGGUCAGGAGUUGCAGGAGGAUUUAGGCCAACGCCCAGGUUGUGGAGUUGGCCAGGACUAGAGAUUAAGGGGACAGCACAGUCAGGCCUGAGAUGAAGGGGUCAAAGGCACAGAGGUCAGGGCCAGAGGUCAAAGGCACAGGGAGUGGGGCCAAUUUAGAGGUUGGGGUCAAAGGUUAAAACCAAGCAUCACCCUUUUCCCCUCGGGAUUGUGUUAUUCCCACCCCUGUACAAACAGACUGGCUCCCACCCGCCUGGGUGUCUCCCUAUUUGUUGAUCAUCUGACUCUCGAUGUCAGCUCAGGUCAUGAUCCUAGAGUGGUGGGAUGGUGUCUCUUUAUACUUCAAGUCACCGGAAAUAUCAAGGACAGAUGUCACAACCCGUCCUAAUCCAAUCAUCAAAAUUCAGAGGAAAGUCCACAGGACAAAGGACCUUGUUUCUCCAACAAGGGAAUUUCAAAGGAAGACAAGAAAAAGAGGGAGAGAUUGAGACAGAGAUUAAGGGCAAAACCCACAGUUAAAGAGACUUUGAGAUAUCUCCACCAGUUGCAAGCUCUGACCGCAGAUUCAUCAUCUCCUGGGAUGUCUAAGGCACAUCAACACCAGUAACGGCCAAACUCAACUUCUGAUUCCCGGUCCCCCAACCAGUUCAUGGGCUCAAGCCAGGCGUCUGACUCUGCACUGACAGCUCCGAGCUUGGAGCCCAGAACCUGCUUCAGAUUCUGUGUCUCACUGUCUCUCUGCCCCUCCCUCGCCCCUCCCCUGUUCGCACUCUGCCUCUCUCUCAAAAAUAAACACACACUAGGGGCGCCUGAGUGGCCCAAAAAAACCCGAAGCCCUGGCUGGAAUCUGACCCCCUCUGACCACCUAGCUGGGGCUGCCAGCCUUCUUCUGAUUAUUCUGAUUAGUCCACUUGUCCUAAUGGGUCUCCAGGCUUCCAUGCCGGCUGCACUUUGCCCACCCCUCCAUGGGAGUCCUAGUAGUCCUGCUUUUUGUUCUUCUCAGAACCCUCCCGGGCUCAUCUCCUUCCUUGCUCACAUCUACCAGGCAUGAAGAUCUGUCCUCCUUCCUUUCUGCUCUCAAAUCUCCACUGUCCCCCUGCCACUCCACUUCAGCCACCUGAGCCUCCUUCUGGCCCCUCCCACAAUGGUAGCCACAGUCCUGCCACAGGGCCUUUGCACUUGCUAUGCCCGCUGCCUAGACUGCUGUGUUCCUCCCUCACCUCAGAUGUCUUUGUUCAAGCCUCACCUCAGCAAGGCCUUCACUGGCCACCCCAUCUAAAACUGUCACGCACUCACACUGCAUGUCUGUUUCCCUGCUUUU